UGGCUGUGGCUGUGGUGUAGGCCGGUCAAAUUCGACCUCUAGCCUGGGAACUUCUAUAUGCCUCGGGUACGGCCCAGAAAAGACAAAAAGACAGAUAAAUAAAUAAGGGAAUCAGUGUGCAGAUGGUAUUUUAAAGCCAUGAGACUAGAUUUCCCAUCGUGGCACAGUGGAAACGAAUCCGACUAGGAACCAUGGGGUUGCAGGUUUGAUCCUGGGCUAAGGAUCUGGCAUUGUCGUGAGUUGCGGUGCAGGUCGUAGAUGCGGCUUGGAUCCUGCGUGGCUGUGGCUGUGGUGUAGGCCAGCAACUAUAGCUCCGAUUCGACCCCUAGCCUGGGAACCUCCCUAUGCCGUGGGUGUGACCCUCAAAUGACAAAAAUCAAUCAAUCAAUAAAACCAGGAGACUGGAUGCAGUUACCAAGAGAGUAAGUUUUAAGAGAGAAGCCUUCCAAAGGCUGAGUCUUACUUCCGAUGGUAAGAAUCCAGGGUGACGAGGAGCCUUCGAGUGGCGAGGAGGUUGGGAAAAGCAGCAGCGUGUGAUGUUCCCGAAGCCAUGUCACCUUUGAGGGAAGGUGUGCUCGGCUGUGUCCGACUGCACGGAGGUCCCCUCAUAGGUGCUCCGAGGGCUGACUUGGCCAUCAGGGUAGAGGCCGUUGGUGGCUUUGACAAGUGCUGUAUCGGUGGAGGGAGGUGACGAGCUGGAGUGUGGGUGAGAAAGCCUGGGACGUCCUCGCGGUAAGAGAAAAGCGCAACCAACUGAAAAGCAGCUUCUCUUGGGUGGGUCAGAGCUCGGAGGUGACACGGCACACGUCCACAAAAACUAGAAAGACAGGAAAAGGCAGACUGUGCAGCUCAGCUCACCCAGAGUAGAAGCUGCUCGGGGUCAUCAGGAUGUACAGGCAUUGCUAGGGGCUGAGUGUGGAUCCGUUUGAGAGUUUCAGACUCCUGGGAGCAGUUUGCAGCAAGUUUCAUAUAAAUUAUUACAACUUAAAAAAAAAGAAAAACUAUCCCCGGGAGCUGGUCUGAGGCCCCCACACUUUCUUGGGUUUGACCUUCAGGAGCUCUGUCGCAUUCUCGCUCUGGAGACAGCAGAAGAAUCGCCUCCUGCAAGUGGCAGGGAGGAGGAAGUGCCCAAUUUGAAAUAUACCCAGAUCUUCCUGUUUCCGCAGCGGAAGCCUGCCCUCGGGGCAAAGGAUUUUGCUAGAGUCUUCUGUGACCUAACAGAAGGACCUUUGGGUGGCUCGAGCCCCCUCUGGCUAAGGGACUAAGGGACUUCUGAGAUUGUAGCCCAGUGAAAUCCAGCAGAUUUAAUAAGAUUAGGAAUGCUUCUCCCUAAUUCUCUACCAUCUAAAGCGCUCCAGUGUUGUAACAGCGGAUUAUGGCUCUUGAAAGAGCGGCGAGACACAGCCUCUGUGUUAAGGAGUUUCUAGGGAAACCCAAAGACAACAGGGGAGGCAAAAGCAAAGGACACUGGAAGAAAGGGGAGCCUCUGAUAGCUCCAGCAGACAUGGCAAUAGCCUAGCUGCUGGCCAGAUAAACCUGAAACCUCACGGGAAUGGCCUGUUUGCCUCAGUUCCUAUUUCCCAGUGCUUCAGGUCCAAGUAAAAAACAGGCAGGAAAAAAAAAAUCUGAAGAGAGAAAGCAAGCACCAGAGCCAAACGCAGAUACAGCAGAGAAUUUAGGGUUCCCAGACUGGGAAUUUAAAAUAACUAGGAGUUGCCAUCAUGGCUCUGCAGUGACGAACCCACAUAGUAUGCGUGAGGGUGCGGGAUCCAUCCCUGGCCUCGCUCAGUGGGUUAAGGAUCCAGCGCUGUCACGAGCUGUGGUGUAGGUGGCAGACGCGGUUCAGAUCCCGCGUUGCUGCGGCUGUGGUGGAGGCCGGCGGCUGCAGCUCCAAUUCAACCCCUAGCCUGGGAACCUCCGUGUGCUGCGGGUGCGGCCCUAGAAAGCAAAUAAAAUAAAAUCAUGAAGAUUAAUAUGCUCAGGUCUCUGAUGCAAAAAGUGGACAACAUGCAAGUCAUGUAAGCAAACGUUGGAAACGCUAAGAAAGAAAUGCUAGAAAUAAAAUCAUGGACACAAAUGAAUGCUCGUGCCGGCCUGGCUCACCAGCAGACCGAACACAGCAGAGCAAAGCAUCCUUGCCCUUGAACAUAUGUUGAUCGGAAUGUCCCAGACUGACGUUAAAGAGAAAAGGGAAUGAAAGAAGAAAGAUGAAAGGUGCAGAAAAUCUAAGCACUGUGAGACCGUCGCGAAAAGUGUGUUAACGUGUGGAGUGGGAAUCCUGGGGGAGAGAGGGAAUGAGGGAGGGAGUGUGGAGGCAGAGUGUGUACAGGUAAGUCCAGGAAUGUUGCUUAUUGCAAAGGGGGUCGCAGAAGAGGCUGCCGUUGGAGGGGCAAGCAGGGUGCAGAGCUUUGCUUUUAAAGCUUGUUUUGUAUUUUCAUGGAGGUGACCCAGGAAAGAAGUCAGUUUGAUGCUGUGGGUGAGAGGGGAGUCUUGCUGGAGCAGCGGCCUCAAGGAGGCAAGAGAAGCUGGAUCCGGUGCCCAAGUGGAGCCCUGGCCAAGGGGCAAGUGGCAGAAGGCACACAGGACAGGGCUGGCAGGCGGGGUGUGUGGUGGUGGGAAGCUGCGGAAGUUCUUCCCUAACUGCUUCUAUUCUCAAGGCCGUCAGCCGAGAGAGCAGCUGGAGGAAGAGGGAUUGGAGGCUUGAGACUAUGGAUUCGCCUGUAAGAAGACGGGAGGGACUGGGGGGAAAGAGCGGGUGUCAAGGGCCCCCUGGAGUUCUGAAUUACUGUGGUGUUUUCCUUACCCACGAUUCUGUCAUAAAUAUGUCUUCUUGGGAACUGAGGCCCACUUCGCUAGAAUCGCAUCACAGUAAGGAUUUUGGUUCGCAGGAAAGAGGCAUCCGAAAAUACCCCAAAGAGGAGUUCCUGUUUGUGGCUCAGUAGGUUAGGAAUCCCACAUAGUGUCUGUGAAGAGGCGGAUACGAUCCCUGGCCUCGCUCGGUAGGUUCAGGAUCUGGCAUUAUUGCAGGCUGUGGCGUAGGUCACAGAUGUGGCUCGGAUCCUGCGUGGCUGUGGCUUUUUUCCUAUAACAUAUCUGUUUAAAAUGUAAUCCCAUCCCUUCUUUACUGGGUGAACAAAACGUGCUAGAUCCAUACCAUGGAAUACUUUUCAGUGAUAAGAAUGGACUGCUUGCUCCGGGUUUAAUGGGUAAACCUCAGAAACGUUACGCUUCGUGAGAGAAGCCACACCCAUAAGAUGUCUUGCUGUACGAUUCCACUCAUGGAACGCCUGGGGAAGGGGACUCUAGAGACAAAGCGGAUCCGGAUCCAUCCGCAGUCCGCUGGGCGGGGCCGGAGGAGGGAGAUCGGGGAUGAUGGAGCGGGAUCCUGCGGAGAUGAAACGACUGACUUUGUAUUUAAAACAGGGGGGUUUUAUGGACAUGUAAAUUACCUUGUUAAAAGAGUCAACCCGUCUUUCAACUUCUACUUGUAACUCAGUUGGUUAUACGGACCCAAGAUGUUCCAGUAUGUUGACGUUUUAAACUACAUCACCACCCACCUCAGCCUGCUUGCCGAACCUUGCAGCUGAUCCACGCUCCUGGUCGCAAAUUCGCUCUGUUCUUUGUAACAGCAGUACCCUCAUUUGCAUGCCAGGUAGAGCCCGAAUCUGACAAUUUAUUGCUCGUCUGCUCAUUCCUACCAUUUUUUCACACAGGCGCUUCAUUUUUUGAAAUACUGUGCCUGUUCCCCCCGAUGAUUGAAGAAGAUGGACGGUUGCUAUGAUUGUGGCUUCCCGCUGAGCUGCCGUGAGGAAACUCACUUUAGAAAAGAGAAUUUCCUGAUUUCCAGCCCUGGGUCCUUUCCCAGAUCAAGAUGACUGCACAAGAAGAAUUCUCACACCCCCGUGUCUACAAGGUGCAAGGCCAAAAACGGCAGAAUGACCUCCCUAGACACUGGCGCAAGGGUACCCACCAGAAAUCUGUGCCGUCACUCAUUUCACAAAAGUUCACUUUACACCAGGAACCUUUUUCACUGAUUGACAGGUUUAUUUACAGACUCGGGCAAGAAACUUGAAGCUAAAAUGUCUACGGCUGCUUCUCACUGAAUAUACCCCAGAAAGGAAGAGAAAAGGUUUCUAAU